UUUAAAGUGAAAUGUAAGUCGCUUUGGAUAAAAGCGUCUGCUAAAUGUAAUGUA
rfam:Gasterosteus aculeatus cont1.014497, whole genome shotgun sequence.